UCAACACUAUCACCCGGCUCG
rnacentral:sRNA from 1 species